rnacentral:rRNA from 1 species
UAACACAUGCAAGUCGAACGAAGUAGCAAUACUUAGUGGCAGACGGGUGAGUAACAUGUAGGUAUCUGCCCUUUGGCCUGGAAUAACACGAGGAAACUUGUGCUAAUACCGGAUAAGUCUUUACAGGAGAAAGCUUUAUGCACCAUUGGAUGAGCCUGCACUUGAUUAGUUUGUUGGUGGGGUAAUGGCCUACCAAGACUGUAAUCAAUAGCUGAUUUGAGAGGAUGAUCAGCCACAUUGGGACUGAGACACGGCCCAAACUCCUACGGGAGGCAGCAGUGGGGAAUCUUGCACAAUGGAGGAAACUCUGAUGCAGCGAUGCCGCGUGAGUGAAGAAGGCCCUUGGGUUGUAAAGCUCUUUCGUCGGGGAAGAAAAUGACUGUACCCGAAUAAGAAGGUCCGGCUAACUUCGUGCCAGCAGCCGCGGUAAUACGAAGGGACCUAGCGUAGUUCGGAAUUACUGGGCUUAAAGAGUUCGUAGGUGGUUGAAAUAGUUGGUGGUGAAAUCCCAGAGCUUAACUCUGGAACUGCCAUCAAAACUUUUCAGCUAGAGUAUGAUAGAGGAAAGCAGAAUUUCUAGUGUAGAGGUGAAAUUCGUAGAUAUUAGAAAGAAUACCAAUUGCGAAGGCAGCUUUCUGGAUCGUUACUGACACUGAGGAACGAAAGCAUGGGUAGCGAAGAGGAUUAGAUACCCUCGUAGUCCAUGCCGUAAACGAUGUGUGUUAGACGUUGGAAAUUUAUUUUCAGUGUCGCAGGGAAACCGAUAAACACACCGCCUGGGGAGUACGACCGCAAGGUUAAAACUCAAAUGAAUUGACGGGGACCCGCACAAGUAGUGGAGCAUGUGGUUUAAUUCGAAGAUACGCGCAGAACCUUACCAACACUUGACAUGUUCGUCGCGACUCUAAGAGAUUAGAGUUUUCGGUUCGGCCGGACGAAACACAGGUGCUGCAUGGCUGUCGUCAGCUCGUGUCGUGAGAUGUUGGGUUAAGUCCCGCAACGAGCGCAACCCUCACUUUUAGUUGCCAUCAUUAGUUGGGCACUCUGAAAGAACUGCCAAUGUAAGCUGGAGGAAGGUGGGGAUGACGUCAAGUCCUCAUGGCCCUUACGUGUUGGGCUACACACGUGCUACAAUGGUAUCUACAACAGGAAGCAAGACUGCGAAGUUAAGCAAAUCCCUAAAAGAUACCUCAGUUCGGAUUGCACUCUGCAACUCGAGUGCAUGAAGCUGGAAUUACUAGUAAUCGUGGAUCAGCGUGCCACGGUGAAUGCGUUCCCGGGUCUUGUACACACCGCCCGUCACACCAUGGGAGUUGGUUCUACCUUAAGGCAAGGUUUUAAACCCUUGACCACGGUAUAGUCAGCGACUGGGGUG